CCUACGGGAGGCAGCAGUGAGGAAUAUUGGUCAAUGGGCGCGAGCCUGAACGAGCCAAGUAGCGUGAAGGAUGACUGCCCUACGGGUUGUAAACUUCUUUUAUAAAGGAAUACAGUGAGGCACGUGUGCCUUUGUGUAUGUACUUUAUGAAUAAAGAUCGGCUAACUCCGUGCCAGUAGCCGCGGUAAUACGGAGGGUCCGAGCGUUGUCCGGAUUUAUUGGGUUUAAAGGGAGCGUAGAUGGGUUGUUAAGUCAGUUGUGAAAGUUUGCGGCUCAACCGUAAAAGUGCAAUUGAUACUGGCAGUCUUGAGUACAGUUGAGGUAGGUGGAAUUCGUGGUGUAGCGGUGAAAUGCUUAGAUAUCACGAAGAACUCCGAUGGCGAAGGCAGCUUACUAAACUGUCACUGACAUUGAGGCUCGAAAGUGUGGGUAUCAAACAGGAUUAGAUACCCCUGUAGUC
rnacentral:rRNA from 1 species